AUUGAACGCUGGCGGAAUGCUUUACACAUGCAAGUCGAGCGGCAGCACGGGGGCAACCCUGGUGGCGAGCGGCGAACGGGUGAGUAAUACAUCGGAACAUGCCCAGUCGUGGGGGAUAACACUUCGAAAGAAGUGCUAAUACCGCAUACGUCCUGAGGGGGAAAGCGGGGGAUCGCAAGACCUCGCGCGAUUGGAGUGGCCGAUGUCAGAUUAGCUAGUUGGUGGGGUAAAGGCCUACCAAGGCAACGAUCUGUAGCUGGUCUGAGAGGAUGAUCAGCCACACUGGGACUGAGACACGGCCCAGACUCCUACGGGAGGCAGCAGUGGGGAAUUUUGGACAAUGGGGGCAACCCUGAUCCAGCCAUUCCGCGUGAGUGAAGAAGGCCUUCGGGUUGUAAAGCUCUUUCGGCAGGAACGAAACGGUGAGCCCUAACAUAGCGUGCUAAUGACGGUACCUGAAGAAGAAGCACCGGCUAACUACGUG
rnacentral:rRNA from 1 species